rnacentral:rRNA from 1 species
GACGAACGCUGGCGGCGUGCUUAACACAUGCAAGUCGAACGAUGAAGCCCUUCGGGGUGGAUUAGUGGCGAACGGGUGAGUAACACGUGGGCAAUCUGCCCUGCACUCUGGGACAAGCCCUGGAAACGGGGUCUAAUACCGGAUAUGACCUUCCUCCGCAUGGGGGUGGGUGUAAAGCUCGGGCGGUGCAGGAUGAGCCCGCGGCCUAUCAGCUUGUUGGUGGGGUAAUGGCCUACCAAGGCGACGACGGGUAGCCGGCCUGAGAGGGCGACCGGCCACACUGGGACUGAGACACGGCCCAGACUCCUACGGGAGGCAGCAGUGGGGAAUAUUGCACAAUGGGCGAAAGCCUGAUGCAGCGACGCCGCGUGAGGGAUGACGGCCUUCGGGUUGUAAACCUCUUUCAGCAGGGAAGAAGCGCAAGUGACGGUACCUGCAGAAGAAGCACCGGCUAACUACGUGCCAGCCGCCGCCGUAAUAC